rnacentral:rRNA from 1 species
AGCGAACGCUGGCGGCAGGCUUAACACAUGCAAGUCGAGCGGGCAUCCUCGUGGUGUUUGCGGCAGACGGGUGAGUAACGCGUGGGAACGUGCCCUUCGGUUUGGAAUAACUCAGGGUAACUUGUGCUAAUACCGGAUACGUGCGAGAGCAGCAUGGUUUGUCUGCCGAAGGAUCGGCGCGCGUCUGAUUUGCUAGUUGGUGAGGUUAUGGCUCACCAAGGCGACGAUCAGUAGCUGGUCUGAGAGGAGGAUCAGGGACACGGGGACUGAGACACGGCCCAGACUCCUACGGGAGGCAGAAGGGGGGAAUAUGGGACAAUGGGGGCGACCCUGAGCCAGCCGUGCCGGGGGAGUGAUGACGUCCUGAGGGUUGUGAAGCUCUUUUCUCCGUGACGAUAAUGACGGUACCGGAGGAAUAAGCCCCGGCUAACUUCGUG